AUGAACGGAAAAAAUAAUCUGCGGAGAAGUCCAAGGCUCUCAUCAACGGCCCUUCAUGGACUCGAAGCUGACAGUGACAUGAGUGAUAAUCCAAAGGGACCAGCAAUGUCAGGCUUCCCGACAAACAGCAGGUAUUUGUAUUCACAGACGGCACUUGGUAGUCGUUCUACUGAAUCCACUCUUACUGGAUCCAGCCAAGGGUUUACAAACCCAAGUGAGAAAGGCCAGACAAGUGAAAGUGAGGUGUUCACCAGAAUGUCAUACUUGGCAAUGGAGAACAACCGCCAUAUUUCACCAUCAAAUGAACCUCGGCCAUCCCAAAAAAGCGUGCUAAGAAUGAUACUGAACAUCCCAUACCUCCUGCUAAUGGCCUUCGCCUCCCUCCCAAGAUAUUUGGUAAAGGCCUGCAUCUCCUCAGUGUAAGUAAGCAGAUAAAAUUCUUCACAAGAGUAUAUUGGGGAUGAAACUGGAUCUUUGUGAGUCAAAACUGGAAACAGGGCAAGAAUGACUGGGAACAGCACCUUAAUCAGUUGUUGAGCUGAGUUAGAGAUCAGUAGCCCCUGAUUCACAUUUGGAACAUGCUCAUAUUGGUGCUGUGAUAGAAUCUGUGCAGUUCUUUCAUUGCUACUUAUGAAAGC
rnacentral:lncRNA from 1 species